GAUGAACGCUAGCGGGAGGCCUAACACAUGCAAGCCGAGCGGUAUUGUUUCUUCGGUAAUGAGAGAGCGGCGUACGGGUGCGUAACACGUGUGCAACCUGCCUUUAUCUGGGGGAUAGCCUUUCGAAAGGAAGAUUAAUACUCCAUAAUAUAUUGAACGGCAUCGUUUAAUAUUGAAAGCUCCGGCGGCUAGCGAUGGGCACGCGCAAGAUUAGCUAGUUGGUGAGGUAACGGCUCACCAAGGCGAUGAUCUUGAGGGGGCCUGAGAGGGUGAUCCACCAGACUGGUAAUGAGACACGGACCACAACCGGACGGGAGGCAGCAGUGAGGAAUACUAGGGAAGGGAGGCAAGCCUGAACCUGCCAUCCCGCGUGAAGGACGACUGCGCUAUGAGUUGUAAUCUUCUUUGGAAGAGAGACAAACCGACCCUCGAGAGCGUAGCUGAAGGUACUAAACGAAUAAGCACCGGCUAACUCCGUG
rnacentral:rRNA from 1 species